GGGGGGAGGCCAGAUCCUGGGCUGUGUCCCCGGUGCCCUGUGCUCCCGGGCCUGCACUGUUGGAUUUGCAGUCCCGGCUGGGAAGCCUCAU
rnacentral:pre_miRNA from 1 species